AAGUAACGGAAGAAAUUUUUCAAUUUCAAAGAUAAUAAAAAAACGAGAGAAAAAUACGAAAAGAACGAAUAAAGACGAAGACGUCGACGACGUGCGUCGAUUAGCGAUUUCGCCAGCAACGAUCUCUCUACGUGCAUUAAUAUUUAAGUACAUUGAUUAACCGAUAUUCUCUCGCAUAAGUACCGCAAUAAGUACUCAAUCGUUCCCUGCUGCCUACUUUACAGUGUUUGUUUAAAUUUUCAUCGCGCUUUUAAUUUUGUUAUCUCUUUUUUUUUACCUUUUGAUUUUCGGGACGGACGGAAGGUGGUUCGAAAAAACCAAGUCCAUUUUCGCCGAACAACUCGCAACGGUGACGGCAAAAAUUUCUCUCGCAGACAUAGAUGGAUGUAUCCUUCGCAUUCAUAAUCGCCAAUUAACAAUUUCUUUCUAAAUCAAUUUUCUGAUUAAGAUCUAUUAGGCAAAUGAAGCGAUAAUACUUCUUAAACAAUACUCGCCGUGUGGAAGAAUAUCGAUAUAUAUAUGUAGGUACGCUUCACGUUCACAGCGUGGCUAAAUAAAUAAAUUACAUUAGAUACGAUUUGAGACGCGACUUUAAUGCGACAUCGAAAUUAAAUCGCGCGAUCAAAAACUUAUGUUGCGUAAGUAUCUCGGUGUGGAGUAUUGCAAGAAUGUCUACAUGUAUAAUAUUGUACAUAUACGUACAUAUUUAUCAGAAUGACUGCGAAUGUGUGACAAAAUCUGCUAUUCUUAAAAAUAACGCAAGAAUUAGGAGGAGCUAUAAUCGAACUCGUAAAUAAAUUAUAAGUCGCAGAUUUAUCAUAUGAUCGCGCAAAUAUUAUGUGUGCUAUGUCUCCUCUUCAAUAUAAUCACCUAAAAUCAUAUUUAUAAGAUAUUAUUACACAUCGAUUAAAUUUCAUCUAGGAAGAAUUUUUCUCGUCUCAUUGCUGAGUCGCCGGUUUAAUGAAUGAUUCCAUUAACGUUCUUUCUUUGCAACUUUUUCAUACGUUCUUCCUCCUUUUCCUAUACACUGUCGUGUCAUACUUUAAAUAAUUAAUCUAUGUACAAUGCAUAACUACACACAUACGCGCCUCAAUUAUCCCUCUUGUGAUUAUCUCCCUUGGCCUUCCUCGACUUUUACCCUCGAUCCGUUUCGAAAAACCGAAAGUGCAGCCGUUAACUUGAAAGACAGAAAGCUGCUAGAGGCGCAAUACUGAUAUCUCGCGGGACGCUAUCAAUUAUUACUAUACGGGUCUGAGGAAAAUCUUCUUGCACUCGAUUGCAAUCAGAUCGUCAGAUAUGAACUCGCACCUUUUUUUCGAGGAUCGGCUCGACGAACGAUUUUCGCACAGCUAUUCCUAUUACAGAGCGGAAGCACCGUCUAAGAUUCUCAAGGAAAUCGUUCGACGUGAGCGUCGUCCUCGUGCGAGAAUUUUCUCAUCAUCCCGCGAUCCUCCAUCUUUACGAUAAAUGCAACACGCUCGUGUGUGUGUGUAUAUAUAUAUAUAUAUAUAUGUGUGUAUAUAUAUAUAUAAUAGACGACGAUAGUGUAAGACAAUAUCUCCGCUAUAACCUUCAACAACUAAUCUUUAUUUAAGUAAUCUAUAUGGGUGUUUUCUGCCGGCUAUACAGGACGAUAGAGUCCGCGGUACCCGAGCUCACGAUCGCUCUUAUUCUCUCUGUUAUCGCGCGGCACGACGACCUUGAGCAAGUUCCUCACGAGUACUUCUUCUUCGACCCUGUUCGCUUAAGUACUGGCCACUUCGCGUCAAUAUCACAGUCCCUCACGCGGAUGUUAAUCCACCUGCAUAAUGACAGUUCACGUAUGGUGAAAUGUCACUCUACAUCUAUCUAACGUGCUUGUCUGCUUGAGCCGGGUGAACCCGCCGGAAAUGCAAGUUUCCCUCCUGCGAAAGGUACGAUUAUCAUUUCGCGAUCCAGGUCGCGGGACACACGAUCACGAAGAGCGACUACACUACGCGUAAUUUGUUCUCUCUUGAAAAAGAAAAAAAAAUGGUAAGGGUGCAGUAUAAUCUUGGGUGCGUACAAUUUCGUUUUUUCAUGCAGAACGACGAUAAUCUCGCUCGCGGUUCGAGCCUAACUCUACUCAAGAUAAUUGGGAUAUCCAAUUACGAUAUAUCGCGUGACAGACAUUGAAGUAUAAUUAUCGAUACUGUCGGGAAAUCCGUUGUUGGUAUUUCGCGCGACGUCUAUUGCUUCUCCAUAUAAUCGCGGCUGACGAGCUUGUAAGCCACUGUUAUUAUUCGGUGCAUGAAACUUUUGUGUAUCUCCCUGUCACAUCACCCGAACAUAUAUGCUUGGUUUUUAAUGCGUUUAUGCGUGUACCAUUUUUUUACUUUUUACUGAGGUCGUUAAGGCUGUGCGCGUAUACUUAUCUAUCUAUAAAGUAUUUUACGCUGAUAUUUUUUCUUUUGUGCUGGUUUUUAAGUUCGCUGCGCUACUGUCGUUCUACUAAAUGCCGACUCGAUAUAAGAGAAAGCUCGUCGUCGUGCUCCUUCGGAACCCGGCUUCUUUUUUUUCCGGGUCCUCUCCUGUUUAGAGAGAACUCGUAUUAUUCAACCGGAAGAAGCUUGACCGCGGCAUUACGCGCGCGACAGCAUUCGACGGUGUUCGAGGUCGGGCCAAGGACACGGCGGCUUACGUGUAGUAUUUUCGAUCGUGCGCGACGUCGAAACGCGAACGUGCGGACUGCCGCUAUGUGCUCGAGCGAAAAUACUUAGCGACGCUGUUGAUGAACUCCUGACGCUACAACUGCACUUGGAACGCCUGGGUCGCGUUCGGCAUAAUGAAGGGAUUCGUUGUCGCGGUCGAUUGCCGCAGAUUUCUGGCGGCGAUUUCUGCCCACUCGACGUCGAAAGGAUCGGAGGGUCCUCCUCUGGAAGCCUGGCCCUGCAUCGCGGCCGACCCGAGCGAGUGCGCUCUGGCGUGAAGCGGAGGUGCUCGUCGUGGACUGGCAGCUACCUGCUGCGACCCCGGCGACGGCACCGAGCCGGUUAUACUGCCCAACCAUUGUUCUGGUUUCGGCAAACCGGCUGCCGUGGAAAGUGGUUGUACCUGGUGAAUAGAGAAACUCGUGAGAGAAGACCGUCCCCAGUAAUUUACCUUAGUGAUACGAUACAAUGGACCAAAGGAAGAAAAGAUUCUUGUAUGUCGGCUGUAAGAAUUAAAUAAUGUAAAUGAUCAAAAGUUUUCAAGAAGAAUAACAUGAAGAAUUUUCACGCCUGAUUUACUUGAAGUUUUGCGAAUAAUUUAAUUUUAAUAAAAUUCUAAAGAAUUUCGCUCAUCGAAUUAAGAAACUUGUUCAUAAAUGUUCAACUUACUAAAGCUGUCGGAACACUGGUUGCCGAUGAAACUUGGCCGACGUCUGUCGAGAUGGAUAAUGCCGAGGAGACGGACGCUACGCUGGCGCUGGGAGAACUUGUUUUCGGUGUCAUCGCCGAACUUAUUGGUAUCGGCGAUCUGUUCACAGCCGACGUAGACGUAUUUCCCAAAGAGGACGUAGAAGCUGUGCUAAAAGCGGGGCUUGCUGUCGACGGUGCCGGUGUGCUCAUAAUGACCGGAGUAGGCGCGUUCGUCCUUGGAAGAACAGGACUCAAGUUGCUUGUCUUAAGAAGAGGCGUGAGCCUGUGGUUUGACGCGAGAACGGGGGAUGCCGACUCUUGCCAACUGGGCCCGACGUGAUUCAGACCGCCGAGCUCGUCGCUCUUGUUAUUAUCGUUGUUGUUAUUAUUGAUGCUGGGACCAUUCUGCAGUUUCAUCUCGUCCAAUGAGCUGCUACUCGUUACUGAAAAGGAUCGCCAUGUGAAAAUUACGAACAAAGUUACGAAGAAGUUAUAAAGAAAAGUUACGAUUCUUUUAACGCACCAUCGACCAUCGCGAUUGAUCGGAACGAAAAGGGAAAUUAGUAACUUUCAUUGAUCUUUCCUGGAAAGUACCUGGAGGAGAGUUAGUGAUGGUGCUCGUGAAAAGUUGUUUAGCGAUGGAGCUCGCGGCAAGGGACGGCAUUGGUCCAAAGUCGUCGCUGCUCGAGAGCAGAGAAAGCCCUCGAGAAAGCUGCUGACACAUUGCAGAGACGCUGUCCUGACCACCGGGAGAUAUUUCUGGUAUUGGACUCACUGCGGAGAAACAGAAGAGAUCACGUUUGACGAAAUAUUUCAUCGCAAUCUGCAUGUCACAACGUGGUGCUGGGAUGCAUAUGGUACAAAAGACAUGCUACGGGAUGUAUAAAUACGUGUAUCGGAUAAGUAUAAAGUGAGGGAGCAUAUAACAACGAUAUUGAAUGUUUUUUCUUUCAAGCACGAGCAAAAUCACGCGGGAAAAAACAAGGAAAUUAGAUUACGAGAAUUCUAGCUACACGUGAGCUCACGCUACUAGUGUCGUGAAAUCUGUUUCUGUCUGUUAACGCAAUUGUACCAUGUGUACGGAAAAACGAGCACGUUUAAGGAUACAUCGAAGAGCAGGCAACAAUGGGGGAUUAACAGAAUAAGGAGUAAUGACCUUCGUCAUAUCCUUCGAACUCUAUUGUAAAAAACAGGGAAGCACAUCGUUAUUCAGCAAUCAGAUCGAUUUAAAUUAAUAGCACAUAUGGUCACAUUAAUCACAUUUUAUUUAAUGAAGCUAAUUCGCUCAUUCAUCCAUAAUGAAUUCGCUCAUUCAUCAAUAAUUGUCUUGAUAAGAUUAUGAAUGUAAACAAGACGAAAUAAGGUACACACUCACCUGGCGGCUUUAAAGGUACGAUGUGCGAAAGAGCUGACGGCAUUCGCGACAAGUCCGUUGGCUCGAGACUGUGACUACGUGUGCGUUCGAGAUUACUAGGAAGAUCAUUGACUCGUAGACUGAGCUGCCUUUUAAAUGGGGAUGCUUGAUUGAGCUGCGUGAAACCUCGAAAAGAACCCUGUCGUUCUAGCAUAGACGGAGUGGCGUGCGGCCUCUCGAUUGCAAAGGGAUUGUACACCUGUUUAACUGGAGGAACAUCUAAAACAUAAAUACAUUUGAGGAUCAAGGCCAGACGUAUACGCAAGCAUCUUCUAUAAAGGGUAUGAUUGGCUCGUAAAAGUCACUUUCACCUCACGACUGCAUAUUGCAAUCGUGCAAGCCUGAAUCGAAACAGAACUGAAAGAACUGCGAUAUAAGAGGUUGGAGGUGGAUACCAUAUAUAUAAAC